rnacentral:misc_RNA from 1 species
GAUGAAGAACGUAGCGAAAUGCGAUAAGUAAUGUGAAUUGCAGAAUUCAGUGAAUCAUCGAAUCUUUGAACGCACAUUGCGCCCGCUAGUAUUCUGGCGGGCAUGCCUGUCCGAGCGUCAUUUACCCCCUCAAGCUCCGCUUGGUGUUGGGCGUCUGUCCCGCUUCGCGCGCGGACUCGCCCCAAAGGUAUUGGCAGCGGUCGUGCCAGCUUCUCGCGCAGCACAUUGCGCUUCUCGAGGCACCGGUGGGCCCGCGUCCAUCAAGCUCACCCCCCCAGUUUGACCUCGGAUCAGGUAGGGAUACCCGCUGAACUUAAGCAUAUCAAUAAGCGGAGGA